rnacentral:rRNA from 1 species
GAUGAACGCUGGCGGCGUGCCUAAUACAUGCAGGUCGAGCGAACGGACGAGAAGCUUGCUUCUCUGAUGUUAGCGGCGGACGGGUGAGUAACACGUGGAUAACCUACCUAUAAGACUGGGAUAACUUCGGGAAACCGUAGCUAAUACCGGAUAAUAUUUUGAACCGCAUGGUUCAAAAGUGAAAGACGGUCUUGCUGUCACUUAUAGAUGGAUCCGCGCUGCAUUAGCUAGUUGGUAAGGUAACGGCUUACCAAGGCAACGAUGCAUAGCCGACCUGAGAGGGUGAGCGGCCACACUGGAACUGAGACACGGUCCAGACGCCUACGGGAGGCAGCAGUAGGGAAUCUUCCGCAAUGGGCGAAAGCCUGACGGAGCAACGCCGCGUGAGUGAUGAAGGUCUUCGGAUCGUAAAACUCUGUUAUUAGGGAAGAACAUAUGUGUAAGUAACUGUGCACAUCUUGACGGUACCUAAUCAGAAAGCCACGGCUAACUACGUG